rnacentral:rRNA from 1 species
UACGGAGGGGGCGAGCGUUAUUCGGAAUUAUUGGGCGUAAAGGGCGCGUAGGCGGCCUGUUAAGUCGGACGUGAAAUCCCCGGGCUCAACCCGGGAACUGCGUCCGAUACUGGCAGGCUUGAAUCCGGGAGAGGGAUGUGGAAUUCCAGGUGUAGCGGUGAAAUGCGUAGAUAUCUGGAGGAACACCGGUGGCGAAGGCGGCAUCCUGGACCGGCAUUGACGCUGAGGCGCGAAAGCCAGGGGAGCAAACGGG